UACGGAGGGUGCGAGCGUUGUCCGGAAUCACUGGGCGUAAAGGGCGCGUAGGCGGCGCGGGUAGUCAUCGGUGAAAGUUCAGGGCUCAACUCUGAAUCGGCCGGUGAUACUCCCGUGCUCGAGCACUGUAGAGGCAGGUGGAAUUCCGGGUGUAGCGGUGAAAUGCGUAGAUAUCGGGAGGAACACCAGUGGCGAAGGCGAGUCUCUGGGAUGAUGCUGACGCUGAGGCGCGAAAGCCAGGGGAGCAAACGGG
rnacentral:rRNA from 1 species